ACACAUAUCACCCCACACACACACACACACACACACAUCACCACACACACCACCCCACAUCACCACACACAAACACACAUCACCCCACACACACCACCCCUGCACCCCACAUCACCCCACAUACACACACACACACACACACACAAACACAUACACUGUAGCCCUCAAUGCAGUCUGUGUACACUCAGCAGUCUGUGUACACUCAGCAGUCUGUGUGUGUGUACUCAGCAGUCUGUGUGUGUGUGUGUACUCAGCAGUCUGUGUGUGUGUGUGUGUGUGUGUACUCAGCAGUCUGUGUGUGUAUUUAGCAGUCUGUGUGUGUGUGUGUGUAUUUAGCAUUCUGUGUGUACUCAGCAGUCUGUGUGUAUGUAUUUAGCAGUCUGUGUGUGUGUGUGUGUACUCAGCAGUCUGUUUGUGUACUCAGCAGUCUGUGUGUGUGUGCGUGAGUACUCAGCAGUCUGUGUGUGUGUGUAUUUAGCAGUCUGUGUGUACUCAGCAGUCUGUGUGUGUAUUCAGCAGUCUACUAAAUACAGACAGACUGCCAAGCACACACACAAACUGCUUAAUACACAGAGAUGUUAAUUAAUUCGGACAACUGUAGGAGUUGUUUUUUCUAAACUUAAACCUCAGUAUUCAGGUUUAAUUGCCGUUUUGGCACUUUGAGGGAAAAAAAUUGGCAUGUAUUACGGUUUGUGCACUCGGGCUCAAAAAGGUUCGCCAUCACUGGUCUAUGCCAUCUGUCAUAAUAAUAUUCUGCACUUAAAGCUCUUAUUACAUCAGAUAAUUGUCUUGUUAUAAUUUAGCAUGGGUCUGUAAAGCUGUGUAUGCUAAACAAUUGGAACAUUCUAUGCUGGCAUAGAGUCUUUAAAAAGGAAAACUGUGUCCACACUUAAAGGGCCACUAUAGUCACCUAAACAACCUUAGCUUAAUGAAGCAGUUUUAGUGUAUAGAUCAUGCCUCUCAGGUUUCACUGCUCAUUUCACUGCCAUUUAGGAGUUAAAUCACUUUGUUUCUGUUAAUGCAGCCCUUGACACACCUCCCCUGGCCCUGAUUGACACAGCCUGCGUGAAAAAACUGGUUUCACUUUCAAUCUGAUGUAAUUUACAUUAAACAAUUUUUAUCUCUUGCUCUGUAAAUUGAACUUUAAUCACAUACAGCAGACUCUUGCAGGGUCUAUCAAGCUAUUAAUAUAACAGGGGAUAAGAAAAUCUAAAACAGAACUUGCAAUAAAGGGAGGAUAAACAUUAGAUGUCUCUUUACAGGAAGUGUUUAAGAAGGCUGUACAAGUCACAUGCAGUGAGAUGUGACUAGGGUUCAUAAACAAAGUGAUUUAUCUCUUUGCCUAAAUGGCAGAUAAUUGAGCAUUGAGACUGCAGGGGCAUGAUCUAUACAACAAAACUGUUUCAUUAAGCUAAAGUUGUUUUGGUGACUAUAGUGUCCCUUUAAAGUAGUCUUUUCCUGAUCAAUCAACAAGACAGGGUUUACCAAUGAGUUGGCUCCUCCCCUCCCAGCAGAAGUGAUAAGUAACUAUGAAAUCCGUAUAAAUAGAGCUGCCACCUUGUUAUCGUGUAGUCUUUGUGACUAGCUCCACAAACCUUAUAGAAGGAAUGUAGGAACGUAAUGCUGCCGUGUGAUUGACCAGGAUAAGAAUAUUACUAGAAGUAAGGAAACCGUUUUCUUUAUUUCUGAAGAAAACAUGAUGGCUUCAACCAAUGGGUAAUACCGAAGAAGAAUAUAUAACAGGAGGAAUAGAAUUUGGAUACAGAUAAUAGCUAUCAGAAACCAUAACUAGCUGCAUCUACCUAAUAAACAUUUAAAUAAAAAUCAAUUGAGUAAUCAAUUAAAUCUCAACACUAUAUCUGCUCUGGCAAAUGAGUAUGCUCCAGAGGCCGCUGGUCAGUAAUACCAUAGGAUUCAAUCACAGAGAACACCUGGGAUCAAUGUAGUGCCAGGUAGAGAAUACGUUAAAGAUAACCAGGCAAAAAGAAACAAGUCUUUAAACCACAUGCCAUGGCUAAAACAAGUCAGGGUCCAAGAAAUAGUGAAAGACCCUUCUUGCAAAUUGUUGUUUCCUUGUGCUAUAGUAAAAGAAAAAUAUAAAAUAAAAAUAUAUUUAGGCAAUAAUAACCAUUCAGACAAGUAUUCUCUAAUACAGAGAAAAUACACCAUGGACAACAAUAUUAAAUUAGAUACUGGGGGUCUGCAAGAUUCAAUAUUCGGACAAUCCGUACUGCCACAAUGGUAAUUAUUGGACUACCUGAACUAAAGAAAAAAAUUGUACAAAAUUCUUCCACUGUGCAAAAAUUUAGAGACAAAAAAAAACAGUUAUAACUAUGAAAAUGUAGACCAAUAGGACUCCCCGCAGGUGCUGUAAGUGUCAUAAGUUAUGGAAAAACAUAUGAAUCAGAAUGAUUAGAUAUUGCUCAUCAAGAUAAGUAGGUUAUUUACAAUGGGAAGAACACUAACCAAAAGCUGGUAACCAUUGGCACCUAAUUAUAAACAGCAUUCCAAGAAUAUUAUUCACAAAAACAGCAUCAUGUAAAUAGCAGGAAUAAACACCACCUGAUACGGGUUUAGACCAAGUGACCAUGUAUGUAAAGGACAGGAAAUAAAGACUAUGUGAUAAGGAGCAGGGAGUCAUAACUGAAUAGUUCUGCUUCCUGUUACUGCUGUGUGGUUAAGAGCUAACCCAUUGGUUAAUGCUGCCAUGUUUUGAUCAGGAAAGCGGGAAUUUAGUUUUUGAUGUUUUAUAGUUAAUUCAUUCUAUAAAGUGGUACUGAGUUUUGAAAUUGAAAAAUGUUUAUAUAUAAAAUUGGAUUAUGUUUGCC
rnacentral:lncRNA from 1 species